rnacentral:sRNA from 1 species
CUAAAAUGAUUUCCUUGCCCAAUUCUGCUUGUGUUUUGACUAUAUUCUUUUUGAUUAAGAUAGAAUCUUUUAGUUUCGUAUGUGUUUGAUGUCGACACCACUCGUGCAGGAUCUAUCCUAACAUAAGUCGUCCGACGAAAUACGGCACCAACGAACUCCAUUCAAGAUUUGAAGGGAUGUAAUAUAUGAAUGUGAAUAGGAAUGUGAAUGUAGAAUUGAGGAAGUGGAAGAAGUAAUGUAUAUACACAUUAAGAGUAAGAUAAUAUCAAUAAUGACAACAAGCG